GUGGGGAAUCUUCCGCAAUGGACGAAAGUCUGACGGAGCAACGCCGCGUGAGUGAUGACGGCCUUCGGGUUGUAAAGCUCUGUGAUCGGGGACGAAUGGCUGGUAUGCUAAUACCAUAUCAGAGUGACGGUACCCGAAUAGCAAGCCACGGCUAACUACGUGCCAGCAGCCGCGGUAAUACGUAGGUGGCAAGCGUUGUCCGGAAUUAUUGGGCGUAAAGCGCGCGCAGGCGGCUUCUUAAGUCCAUCUUAAAAGUGCGGGGCUUAACCCCGUGAUGGGAUGGAAACUGGGAGGCUGGAGUAUCGGAGAGGAAAGUGGAAUUCCUAGUGUAGCGGUGAAAUGCGUAGAGAUUAGGAAGAACACCAGUGGCGAAGGCGACUUUCUGGACGACAACUGACGCUGAGGCGCGAAAGCGUGGGGAGCAAACAGGAUUAGAAACCCUGGUAGUCC
rnacentral:rRNA from 1 species